GCUGCUGUCAUUUUGCAGUGUGGAUCUAAUGCAACUAUGCUGCAAAUACAAAAUAAUAAAGAUUUUGUCUAGAGGGCAAAAUGCCUUCCUUGCUGUAUUUAAUAAAUACACAUUCAGCCACAGAAUGUGUGUCUGUGCGUAUACACAAACAGGAUGGUAGCAGUCUGUGCUUUACAUUUGUGGAAUUUCACUUAAGCUACCCCUUUUGUUCACCUUUUCAUUAGGGACAAAUAACAAAUGGACACAUUUGGCUUCAGUAAGGAGAUAAGUAUUUCCUGCUGCCGUUAGAAAAAGGGUGAGAGACAAAAAUCAAGUGUUACAACAUGGAGCUGCACAGGAGAUGACUUACUGGCAUUUUUACCUGCUUAAAAUAGACACAUCCAUGUGAGAAAUAUUAAUUAUAGCAAAAGAUUGAACAGUUUUUUCUUACUUUACCAGUAAAGAACAGAGAUCUUGGUAGAUAAUUUAGAGUUGCAAUUAAAGGACCCCUAUUUUUUUUUUACAUUAAACCCAACAAACGUUAGGCUGCAUUUCUGCCCUGGUGCUAUUCAACUCAUUCAUAACAUUUUGGUAGCUGGAGAGAAGGAAGCAGCUCUGAGAGCUCAGAACAUUUGCACUGCCACAUCUCAGGGAAACCACAGGCUCAUCUCUCACCACCCCUUCACAUCGUGUCACAGCCAGGAGGUUAGCCAAUGCCUUCCAAUAAGCCAAUCUUUUUUCCAUCUACAAGCCAUUUUUGAGUUACAUCCUUAUUGCUUCGUGCUGAUGAGCACAAUAAGGAAAGCAUCAUGCUCUUCUGAUGAGAAGCCUGUUUCAAAGGCAGUCCUGGACAUAUCAGCACACUCCCUCCUGCCUCAGGGACUGUUUGCACAUGCAUUAUCUCUCAGCUCCUCCAUUCACCAGCUUAGUGCUCAUGUCAACCCUGCUGAUAUUGUGCAGGGCAUAAUGCACUGUGCGGGCUUGUUCUGCCAAUUUGGCUGCAAUUUUCUUUGGCUCUUCAUGUCACAUUUGAAUUUAUUUGUAUUUAUUUUAAGCUUCAUUCAAUCAAUUAAAGUCCCCUAGAAAACAAGCACUUGUGGAAUUCCUAAGACUAGAAACCGUGAUAAACUCAUGUGGGACUUUUCACUUUAAUAUACAAUUGAUGAUAUAACAACAGACAGAUCACUUCUACUCACGGUGUUUAUGAAAUACUUAACACCACUCAUGAGUUGAUUCACAUUCAGGGAGCCUGGUUUGGGAUUCAGGCUUGUUGAACUCUUGUCCUCGCCCUAAGCCAGGAAUGGGUCCAUAUGCCCACGCCACCGUUCCCCUUCCCUCUUGGUUUUGAGCCAUUUUUAAAGAGAUACCAACAGAGGAGUCCAUUAUGAAGUAUAAUUUUGAGCAAAUUAUGUGUGGAAGGUAACUCACUUUCCUCUCAUAUCUUUCUCCACAUAAUCAACUCCAUUUCUUUAUCCCAGAGUUCUUUCUCUCGAGCCUAUACUUGCUUUGUUUUCUCAUCUUUUUCUUACUCUAGUAAAAUUAUGUGUAUUUUGAAAACCAACAUGCUAUUUGCUUAAAGAGUUAAGUGGUGCAAUGAAACCUUUCCUGUGUUUGUUUUUCUUAGGAAAUGUUUGAUUCUAGCAUGCUGGAUAAGAGGUAUUUUAUAACAUUAUUAGAGAUCUCCUCCUGAAAUUUCACAUCCUCCCGCAAAAACAUUGGCUCAAUCCAAACAAACAUAUAUGGUUGUGUGGUGCCAGGAAGGAUUCAUAUUUGGAAGAGGAGAGGUGAGAGCAUUUUUCUCAUAUUGAUCCAGGAAGAGGCUCCAGCCUUCUCCACCACACGGCCUUCCCAGACAGGAGGAGACGCACUGCUACCAUGAAAGAUUCCUAUACUGCAGUCUGGGUUUAAUUCCCAUUAGAUGAUAGGAAGAAAUCUUCAUUACUUAGACUGAGAACACUUACUGAUUUUUUCUCAAAAAUUCAGGUCUGUCUGGGGAAGCUCCAUGCGCUGCUCAGAAGAUCCUAUCUUUGGGUGAAGCAGGAAUGCAAACCCUCAGCUGCUUCAGAGAGGAUUUUGUACAUCAUUUUUCCACAUGAUUAAAAAUAAUUUGGUAGUGUGUUAAGGCAGCAGAAUAUUUGAGAUGCUUUUUUUUUUUUUUUUUUUAAAUGCAAAGUCAUUGUCAGGCAUCUCCAUGAUAACCUUUCUGCCUCCUGCGUUUCCAGUUUGUGGGUUCCCCUCUCUGCCUGCUCACAUGUGGGUGAAAAUCGACAUGUUUCUCAACCUCUACAGAAUUUUUGUGCCCAGUAGCAACAAAAGGAGAUGUGACAGGAGCAUGGUACGAUCAUCCACAAGCAAUAAAUAGUUUAUGCCUUAAUUUAAUAUCCUUAACUGAAGAGCACACCCGCAAAGGCCAGUUUGUGGAGCUUGGGGUGGGAGGUUGACUGCUUUAGCUCAGUGUUGUUCAGCAUGGUGAACAGGGGUUUGCACAUCUCGCCACUCACAGCAAACAGAAUGCCACUGCCCAGGUUAGCAUUUGGGUUUGCUGGUGCCUGAAGAUAUUUUUCUGAGGUCAGUUCAUAAUUCUGACCUCGAACAAUGGGAAAUCCUAUUGAGGUGGCACCGAGGGUGACAUUGGGAGGAUGACAGUGCACAGCUUCCUGUCCUUGAAAAAUUCCAGUUUAUUUUCAGGCAUCAGGCUGCAAAUUAUAGUUCAGACAAUCAAAGAGCAACUCCCAGGUCUUAAUGUGCCGAGUAUAUCCGGCACGUGCCCAGCCUGCAGCACAUUCUGGUCAAAUAACAUGGAAUCAGCUUUCUCACUCCCAUAGGGAUUUGCUGGUUAAGUACGUUGCCUUCCACAACCAUGUAUUUUUUUUAAAUAUCCUCAUGUGAUCUCACAUCCCUUUACUCCUACCCUGCAGAAAAGCAAAGAAAAAAAAAAACAGAAUGUCAUCUUUACAGCACUUUUGAAGGAAAAAAAAAGCCAGAAACAAAUGUGGAAUGAGUAUGUCACACCAUCACUUACCUCUGAAGUCAGAAGUAACCUUGUCGUUGUGAGAAAUUUUACAGUACAUAGGUCUGACCAAUUUGUCUUUAGGGUCAAGCUAGUGUGUUAUAUGAACAAUGUGGCACCAGAGGUGACCAACAAGAAACACCAUUCCACACUGCCCCAGGCUGAGGUAAUGACAUAUAGGUGGAUGGAUGAAUGGACGGAUGGACAGAUGGAUGGAUGGAUGGAUGGAUAGAUGGGUGGAUGGAUGGAUGGAUGGAUAGACAGGUGGAUGGAUGGAUGGAUGGAUGGAUGGAUGGAUCAGUGGAUGACUGGAUGGAUGAGUGGAUGGAUGAAUGGGUGGGUGGAAGGAAGGAAGGUCACAUCUGGGAAACCCUUCCUCUUCUUCACAAAUCAGAAUCUAUAACUCUGAAGGUGUAAAGCCCAUGUAUUCUUUUUCAGGGCAUUUUUUUUCUUCAUUCUACCAAUCUGUACAUACAGUUACAAUUAGUUACAGGAACUUCACUCAUCUAUACCUGAUUCCACUACACCCUACAGCAGUGACUUCUGUCUAUUCAUUAUUUCUCACUCAAAAGCAAAUGCUACUUUGUUGUUGGGUUUGGAGGUAGGUAAGGAAGACAAGCUGAUCAUUGCGCUUAGGAAUUGGAAUACCUAAAUACCUGACCCAGGAUCUGUUACCUAGCAAAUCAUUUUUAUCUUUUUUGAUUUUUUGUCUUUAACACCUUCUUGUGAUAUUUUCAAUGAUUUCUUUUCAAGUGAUAUAUUAAAUCUAUUGCAUUUUGCACACAUUUCUUACAUUAUCAGUGUCUACUAACCAGUAGACUCUACAAGUACCUACUAAACCUAAAAGUUCAGAGAUACAUCUGGAAAUCUCUGCCUAGGUAAUGCAACUCUUAAGUCAAAAGGGAGUCUAAAGUGGGACAUGCUGAGUUUACAAGCAGUUCCUGUAACAUUUGUUUCAGCAUUUUCUGCAGCGUUUUUCUGUCUUGAUUCUCAUGUUCCCUGAGACCUCACUGCAACUGUUGAGAUCAGAUGGUAUGAGCACGCAAAUUCUGAAGAAAACAAAAUCCUGUUUUAUCCAACUAACUGCUUAAAUCUACCUUACAUUCGACAGUGCCAGAAGAAUGGAAGGUGGAAAAGAUGACUGUUAAAAGGACCUUGGGGCUCACCCAAGUCAGUGUUUGAGGUCUGUGCCAGGCAACUUACUGGAAGCUGUAAUGAGGAACAGAAUUAGUAGACUCAAUAACACAUUGGAGAAAAAUCGGCACUGCAUAUCAAGUAGAAGUUCAUAUUUUUGCAAAUCCAUUAGAUUUUCAAGGAGUAAUUUUAUUUGUACAGAAGGGUGAUAAAGUCAUAUUAUUUAUCUGUAUUUUCAAAAAGCUUUUGAUUUGACUUUUACCGUAGGCUUUCAAAGUGUGUUCUUAUGAAUAAGAGGAUAAAAAACUGUCUAAAAGAAAGGAAACUUGCCACUAGUUUACAUAAUACAAAGUCAUUUCCAGAGCCCACAAAAAUCUCUGCUUCUCAACAUAUUCAGAAACGUUAUGGAGAAGCAUAAUGCCACAACGGUGGCUUGCAGACACAGAAAGGGAGGUGGAGGGCAGCACUGGGGCAGCAACCUCACAGAUCUGUUGGGUUGCUCUGGUUAGGUUUGCUGCAUGCCAGCACAAGAAGCGGACGUGACUAAAGGGUGGGAACAAGAAAGAGUAGGACUGUUCCUUGGAGCAAUGCUGGGAACUAUGGCCCAAAUGGCCCAAAGCUCUGCUGCUUUGGAAAGGAGCUGCUUCAGGCGGGAUAUAACAGAGGCCUAUGCGUGCAAACAAAAAGGGUGUGAUCAUUCACUCCUAGAAGACAGGAAUUUAGGAUACCCUGUAGCAUUACCAGGCAUGGAACGCAGGGCUUGGGAAAGGCAGGAGUCAUAGAAUCAUUAGGGUUGGAAAAGACCACUAAAAUCAUCCAGUCCAACUACCAGCCUACCCCCACCGUGCCCACUGACCACAUCCCUCAGUGCCACAUCCACACGGUUCUUCAACACCUCCAGGAGUGGUGACUGCAUCCCCUUCCUGGGCAGCCUCUGCUACUGCCUCACCACUCCUUCUGAGAAGAAAUUCUUCCUAAUAUCCAACCUGAUAUAUAUGUAAUGUGUAUUGUUUACAUUAGUUACACUGUAUAUGCUGUAGAUUAUUGUGGAUAUACAAGUGUCUGUUAGAUACAGCAAAAUAAAUGACAUCCUAUGAUCUGUCACAUUCACCUGUCCGCUGAAAACGGCAGCAAUAAACCUUGGUGGACUGCAGGCGCAGUUGGGAGCUCUGACGCACAGCUCUGGGUAACAGCUAACGGGGUUUUGCAGAAUCACGGCGGUUGGAAGGGACCUCUGGAGACCACCCAGCCCAGCCCCUUGCAGUAGGUUUCCUACACUGGCCGUGUGACCAUGGAUGGAGAAGGGUUAGCAGAGCGGCGCGUGACAAAGCGCUAUGGAUCGUACCAACCUCUUUCCUUAGGAGCUGAUUGUAAAACGCCGGAAUAAACUGCAACGUUAGCGGCGGAUAAAACACGCUGGGACGCGGGGGAGAAGCCCUUCCACGCAGAGCUGCGGGGCCACACCGCCCUCCCCGCUCGGGGGCAGCCCCGCAGGCAGGUGGGCGGCGGGGGGGGCGGGCAGGGGGC
rnacentral:lncRNA from 1 species